rnacentral:misc_RNA from 1 species
CGCCCGUCUCUCCGCGCCCGGGGGCCGCGGCUCGACCGCACGGCCGGGAACGAGAGACGGCGGGCG